CCGGCCGCGUGAAGUGACGUCGGUCCUUAUUGGCUGAGUCUCCCAUCAUCUAAAUAGUCAUCGCCUGAGCCCGCCCCCUGCCCUUUCCAAUCCCGGCCGGCUCCCGUCUCUCCCAGCUCCUGCCUGGGUCUCUCCUCUCCCCAACCUUCCCCGCGUCAAGGUUCCUUUACCCCUCCACCUCCGACCCGCCCCCCAGCUCUUCCAGUCUAGGACGCCGAGCCUGUCCUCUUCCUCCCCCAUCCCACGCUCCCGAGACCCGCCUCCAGAGCCCCCGGGCCCCUCCCUCACGCCCGCCUUCCUGCUCGGACCCUCUCCACUUUAAGAUUCUCCUUCCUCCUCCGUCUCCGUCUCUUGGAGAGUUCCGCGAGUCCACCCCAAGACCCUUCCCCCAAACUCCGAGGUCUUCGUUCCCAAAGCAGCCCCUCCCCCAGGCCCCUGCCGGCCCGGCCCUGUCGCUCGGGCGGGGGGAGGGGCACCUCCUCGGAGCCGCCUCAGUUUCCCUAGCUUUCUCUUCGCUGCGGGAGGUCAAAGGUAGGAGGGGCGUGUCCAUGGCUCCCGGGCACCCCCUGACCUAUGGCACUUCACCUCCUCGGGCUGCCCGGCCGGAUUGGGGAGGGGCUGCCUCCAGGUCCAGCCAGAAGCCGCCCACUUGUCCUUCCCGGCCGAAGCCGAGCGGCGGAUCCCCCGAGAUGCCAGGAUGAGCGCCUGAGUCUCCCCGCUCCCUGCGCCGGGGAGAUGGGCGGCCCGGCCCGCCCCGCCCCCCCCCAUGUGGCUCCUCUGGGCCGUCCUGGCGCUGGCUCACUCCGUGGGGGGGCCCGGCCCCCCCAGCUGCCCCUGGGAGCCCUUCGCGGGACUUGUGGCGGUCAUGGAGGACCUCGGCAGUAGAAAUGACGGCACCCUUUAUACCCCGGACAGUCUCUCUGUGAGUAUGCUGUGCCCUGGCCCGUCCCGGGGGAGGGGCGGGGAGCGUCCCACGGGCUGGGAGGGCUGUGCCUCAGCGGGCAGUUUGGGUCUGGGGUACAUUUUGAGAGCCGCUGAUGGGGCCCCUCAGGAGGGGGUGGCUAGUCUCCAUCAGCCCAGGUCCCGGGGAUGGAGGGGGGGCGUCUCUGCUGGAGGCCCCGGGCAGGAGGGCGGCCGUGGGCCCUCGGUGGCAUGCCGGGCCGGGGGAAAGCCACAGAGGGACGGGCCGGGGCUGUGCCCGGGGUGUCCCGGGCAGGAUGGAGACGGUCUCUGCAGGUGUGCCCCAAGGAGGUUCUGCACUGCUUUGUCCUGGAACUGUCUGUGAUUGGCUAUGAGGAGGGUCCGCUGACAGGGAGGACUGUGAACCGGCUGAAGCGCUCCUUGGAACAGCUGGCGACCCACCUGUGGGGGCCCCGGGGGGGCGCUGCCUCAGGACCCUGCCCCCUCUGCGAGGGACACCCCGAGAGGCCCGUGCCCCAGUUCUUGGCCAAACUCCUGGAGCUACUGCAGGUUGCCUGUGCUGGAGCCCAUCGGGCUGGGUGAGGGGCGAUGGCCGAGCCGGCCCCGACACCCCUCAACGCACAGCCCCCCGGAGACGUCCCCAGCCUAGGAGUCCUCCGGUGCCCCUUUCCGCCCGCUCUUCACAAGCCCCCGGCGCUUGACGAGGCACUGAGUUGGCACUCAGCGAGUGAGAGUCAGGAGUGAGCGUCUCCUUUGCCCUAGCUCCUUCCUGCUCCCAUCUCUUCCCUCCGGCCACGCCACACCGCUUCCUCCCCAAAGUGGGUGCCAGGGCUCCUGGCCUCGGCUUCCUCGCCCUCCAGGUUCCUCCUCGAGUGACCCCCGCUAACUUAACUCUCCCUGUCCACAUCUCACCCACUCGUCCUUCAAAGCCCGGCGUGUUGGUGUGGAAAGAAGGCUGGGCUUCUGGCAUUGGCUGAGGGACCCUGGACAAGUCCUCCCGUGACCAUCCUGCCUUCUCCGGGGCCUUUGCCGAGGCUACCAGUCUGCCGACGGUCGGUUCCUUCCGUCCUGUCCUGCCUCCUGGACUGUAUCGUUGGAGGCCGGGCCUUAACUGUGACUGACCCAGCAAGCGCAGACACGUGGAAAGAGGACUGGUUCAAUCACAUUUAGGGGGGAGCUCAUUUCUGAGGCCCCACACAAGUUGUCUGGGCUGCCCCCUCCCCCCAUUCCACAGUUUAAAUGAACACAAAGCAAUUAUUUUUCCUCCCAGUUAUUACUCUUCUUCCAAAUUGACCAGUUUCAAAACAACGUUCCCCUCAGUCCACAAGGGACAAAAGUCACCAGGAUCCUAGAAUUAUUGCCCAAGACUUUUGGGGGCUGGGAGGGAUGGGACUCUGCCUUACAUGUGUGGGGAGAGAGGAGCGAGGGGUCACCCAGAUUUAGGGGCUGUCUGUGGUACUGUGGGGAGGCCAGAUCAAGAGGCCCGAGGAUAGCAAAGAGCAGUAAGGAAGAAGGUGGAGGAAAGGUCACCUGCCCUUACUCCUGUCUGAAGUGCCAAAUCCUGGGCCGUGGCAUGAGAGUUCCCCAGGGCCGCCCUUCUAGAACCCACUCUGGCUGUUUACCUUGAGCGGUCAUGGCACUGGAGCCGGGAGGGAGGAGACAACCAGUUCACAUAACUAGCUGGGCCACUGUCAUGGCUUAGCACUUUUGCCAGAUGCCCCUGGAGGGAGCCUGGGGAAGGUUAUGCCAUCCUCCCCAGGACCAGGUUCCAAAGGUGGAGUCCUGUCCAGAGCUGGGGUCGUUGCCCCUGUGGAUGGUGAUUCCAUCUAAUUGCUCUAAGGGUCAUCACACCUUCUAACCUUGUCAGUCCAUGAAUAAAUCUUUAUUAAGCACCUACUAAGUGCCUCUUAAAUGCUAAGUCCUGGGGAUACAAAUAGAUAAAAAAACUAAGAUUGUCCUUGAAGUUUGGGAACUUACACUACUGUGGCUGCGGUAAAGGGAGGAGGCUCCAGAAAAAGAUCUUGGCUGGGUGGGACUGGGUGGAGAGCUCUUUAUACAGAUGUGGAAACCAAGGCAAAAUGGCUUUGGUUUCUGCUCUGCUCUGGGUACUGUGAGCUCAGUCAAGCUGUGGAAAAAAAAAAAAAAACAGACC